ACCUACAUUGAGCAUCUGCCCUCAAACAUAACGCACUUUGUCUGGCUAUCAAAAACACCCAACAAUAAGCAUCAUGACCUACAAAUUCAAUAGUUCGAGAUAUUUGGCCAUGGAUUUGCUCUAGCGGUGGUGCUGCUCCAUCGAUUCAAAGGAAAUUUCUCUAAGAGUCUAGGGGCUUGUAUGAGGGAAACCGUCUCUGCAUUAAUCUCUUGACAUCUAAAUUGAUUAUAUGUGGACAACAUUGUCAGACAACCAAAAUAUUAUGGUACUAAUUUUCGUGUAGAUAACAAUAUUAAUCAACAGCAAUCUUAUGAUUAUGGUGGAGGGUCAUCUAAUGGUCAACCUCCUCAUGCAUUGGUAACUUUUGGCUAUUGCGGCAAGCUAAUUGUGAUGAAGAAUAUACAGGUGCUAUAAUAAAUUCAUCUUAUGGUGGCCAGGUGAGCCUGCAAAUCUUUUUAACUCAAUUGUCCUGAUGCUAACGUUAACAAUCUGUAAUUGAGUAACAUCUUUUAGUACUUGACAUACUUAAGUCUGUUUAUUGCUGAGUUUUAUGCAGGUUUGUUCGUGUAUGAUAAGUGUCUCAUAUGUCUUUGGUUUCUGCCCAUAGUGAUGCGUGGCUAUUUUAUGUCGGAUUUUAAUUUGGCGCCAAAGUUGGUUCUUAACGCCAAACAAUCUUUGAGGAACGGCGCUGCGGGAACGAAGCGCUUGGAGCCUUGGGAACUUUAGCAAAACUAGGGCUUUCAAUUGGUGGUGGAACGCCGAACGCCUGAGUCUCAUGGAGGAAUGCAACGUUGGCCAUGGAAAAGAUGAAUCAACCAAGGGCUUUGGAAACCAACUAAGAUAAAACACUGGUAUGCAACAGCUAGUGGACGCUCGGAUGGUCUGUUUUACUAUGUGGUGGAAGAGUCGCCUCUGGCGCGAUAUGAAGUUAUGCUCUAAGAUAUCAACUACUUGCCCUAACUACCAAUAAGCGGUACUGAAAAAGCCACACAAUCUUUGGUUGAAUAGCUUAAACCAACGUUAAAAGAGGUUGAAUACAAUGAGUUGGUUGAUGUCGCACCAGUAAGUGCAGGAAGAAAUAUGAUCUGGGAAUAUGAUUGCUAAGAGAGAAUUAACAUGGGGAUCAUUACACAUGAAGAUUGCAAAA